AGAGGGCCGUCCACAGUAAAGGCAGAUCUGGAUGAGAUCUUGCUCAAUGAUAGCCGCUGUUGAUGGAGGAGACGAGAUGAGUGGAGAAGAGGAAGCGUUUGAAUCGAGGAACGAGUUAAGAGAAGUAAUAGUAGAAGAGGCCAGUGGAGUAGCUCAGAUCUUCCUCCUUAAUAGGCGUAUUUAAGGAAGGACACGAGAGGGAUUCGAAGAGGAAGAAGACGGUUGAAUCGAGGAGAUGGGAGCAGGCGGAGGUAGGUUGGAGCAAUAAUGUCGAGGAGAAAGAGGGGAUCUUGCUCAGAUAUCCUUCAUUGACUACAUCAAUUGAGUCUGGAGGUGAGAGGGGAAGAGAAGAGGGAAGUAAUCGCAGCCUCGAGUAGAUAGCGGUAGGUGGGAGCAGCAAUGGCGGACAUGAAAAAGGGCUACC
rnacentral:lncRNA from 1 species